rnacentral:rRNA from 1 species
AGUGAACGCUGGCGGUAGGCCUAACACAUGCAAGUCGAACGGCAGCACAGUAAGAGCUUGCUCUUACGGGUGGCGAGUGGCGGACGGGUGAGGAAUACAUCGGAAUCUACUUUUUCGUGGGGGAUAACGUAGGGAAACUUACGCUAAUACCGCAUACGACCUACGGGUGAAAGCAGGGGAUCUUCGGACCUUGCGCGAUUGAAUGAGCCGAUGUCGGAUUAGCUAGUUGGCGGGGUAAAGGCCCACCAAGGCGACGAUCCGUAGCUGGACGGAGAGGAUGGUCGGCGACACUGGAACGGGGACACGGUCCAGACUCCUACGGGAGGCAGCAGUGGGGAAUAUUGGACAAUGGGCGCAAGCCUGAUCCAGCCAGACCGCGUGGGUGAAGAAGACCUUCGGGUUGUAAAGCCCUUUUGUUGGGAAAGAAAAGCAGCAGGUUAAUACGCCGCUGUUCUGACGGUACCCAAAGAAUAAGCACCGGCUAACUUCGUG